UCCCCGUUGGCCGGGGCAGUCUCGCCUGAAAUUACAACAGACGAUAAGGGUUGCGCUCGUUGCGGGACUUAACCCAACAUCUCACGACACGAGCUGACGACGGCCAUGCAACACCUGUCACUGGGUUCCCGAAGGCACUCCCGACUUUCGCCAGGAUUCCCAGGAUGUCAAGCCUUGGUAAGGUUCUUCGCGUAGCAUCGAAUUAAACCACAUCAUCCACCGCUUGUGCGGGUCCCCGUCAAUUCCUUUGAGUUUUAAGCUUGCGCUCGUACUCCCCAGGCGGGAUGCUUAACGCGUUAGCUUCGCAGCCCAAGGGGUCGAUACCUCGAACUACUAGCAUCCAUCGUUUACGGCGUGGACUAC
rnacentral:misc_RNA from 1 species